CUUGCGGCCACAUCACAUAGUAACAGCGGUUUUCGUACGCUCACCGAAGUUAAGUAACGUCGAGUCUGGUUAGUACCUAGAUGGGUGACCGCUUAGGAAUAACAGAUCCUGCAAG